UGGGAACAAGGCAGAUGCCCACAGUGCC
rnacentral:piRNA from 1 species